rnacentral:lncRNA from 1 species
AUCGGGCACCUGUACGCUUAAAGCGCGAGCUCGAUUAUACGAUUGUUAGAUCAGGCAUUAUUCGGUGGAGUGCUGGGCAAGCGGCACAAGUCUUGAACUAAAUUCUAUCCCAUCCACAUGCACUAAUCCCUGCCACAGACAGGCCCACAAAGGUUGAUCGACGAAGAAAUAAUUAGUUAGUUGGAUUACAUUUGUGACCAGGGGAGACCAAUUCUUGAAGAGCGUAAGCGCAAUACGAAAUCGUGCGUUUCUGUCGAGAGGUCCCACAAAUCC